GUAGCUGGGUUUACAGGCACCUGCCACCACACCUGGCUAGAUUACAUAUUUCCAUAAUACAUUUAUUUUCACUUCUUAUAAAUUAUAGUCCAGUAUGCCAAAUAAAUUCCACUACCUGUUCUGUACCUCAUUGAAACAUAAUAUGACAAGCAAGUGUAUAGAGAUCACUGAACAAAAAUGGCAUUUUCCCACAGAGUAACUCCCUUCGUACUGUGUUAAUAAGUUCUUUAAAAAGAAAAGUUCUUUAUUUAAAUAGAAAAAGAAUAUCUAAAUUGCCAGAACGUGCAGCAGAAUGUUUUUCUUGAUUUGAAAUUUCUGUACUGACACUUAGGAAAAAGCAUAAGAAUGUAAUAAUUUAUUUUAAAUACUCUGAAAUAAACUAUUUAUUUCUUCCAAUAAUAGCAGUUUUCCAGAUUAAUUUACUACUCAGGCUUAUGUUGGUUUUUGGGAUUUCUAGAAGAGAUGACAUGUUAUAUAUAAAACACCAUAAAAUACACGUUAUUUUUAUAUAAAAUACUACUUAACUACUUAAAAUACCACAUACAUAAGAAAGUGAACAUUUGUGGCAGAGUUAUAUACUAAAGCCUAUCUCACAAAUAGGUAGUAUUGCUGUGUUUCAGAAGUUGAGCUUUUAGGGCAUGUGUUUAGAGCAUAUUUCUCAGAAAACUUCUGGCAAAUGAUGAUUAAGUGCCCAGGCAACUUUGCUAAUGCUGGGACUCUGAUGGCCAGAAGUUGCCCUGUCUUCGGCAGAUGCAUUGUUAUGAAUUGCAAAUAAUAUACAGGUAAAAGAGUCUUUUAGGCUGUGCAUGGUGGCUCGUACUAGUAAUCCCAGCGCUUUGGGAGGCCGAGGUGUUUGAACCAGAGCAACUCCAUCUUGAGUAGGGGCUGUGUAAAAUAAGGCUGAGACCUACUGGGCUGCAUUCCCAAAUGAUUAAAGCAUUCUAAGUCACAGAUUGAGAUACGAAGUCGGCACAAGAUACAAGUUAUAAAGACCUUCCUGAUACAAACAGGUUGCAGUAAAGAAGAUGGCUAAAACACACCGAAAUCAAGAUGGCAACAAGAGUGACCUCUUGUCCUCAACUGCUACACUUUCACCAGUGCCAUGACAGUUUACAAAUUUCAUGGCAACGUCAGAAAGUUACCUUAUAUGGUCUAAAAGGGGAGACAUGAAUUAUCGACCCCUUGUUUAGCAUAUAAUCAAGAAAUAAACAUAAAAAUGGGCAACCAGCAGCUGUCAAGGCUGCUCUGUCUAUAGAGUAGCCAUUAUUUUAUUCCUCUACUUUCUU